rnacentral:rRNA from 1 species
UACGGAGGGGGCUAGCGUUGUUCGGAAUUACUGGGCGUAAAGCGCACGUAGGCGGACUGUUAAGUCGGGGGUGAAAUCCUGGGGCUCAACCUCAGAAUUGCCUCCGAUACUGGCAGUCUCGAGUGCGGGAGAGGUGAGUGGAAUUCCCAGUGAUAGAGGUGAAAUUCGUAGAUAUUGGGAAGAACACCAGUGGCUAAGGCGGCUCUCUAGUACGGUACUGACGCUGAGACGCGAAAGCGUGGGGAGCGAACAGG